UUGGAGGGCAAGUCUGGUGCCAGCAGCCGCGGUAAUUCCAGCUCCAAUAGCGUAUAUUAAAGUUGCUGCAGUUAAAAAGCUCGUAGUUGAAUUUCGGGACCAAUAUGUCGGUCGUGCCUCGGUACGUACUGGCAUCGUUGGUUUCUCCCUUCUGACGAACCAUGAUGUCAUUCAUUUGGUGUCGUGGGGAAUCAGGACUGUUACUUUGAAAAAAUUAGAGUGUUUAAAGCAGGC
rnacentral:rRNA from 1 species